CGAGCCCAACUGUCAAGACAACUCCAGACCAGCUGCACUACAAAGAUUCUGAGAGGAGAAAAGCUACGAAGAAGAUUCAGACAAGAAGAGCCAUCUGAAAGAGGUUCAAAGCCCACUGAGCCACCUAGAAAGGACAUUCUCCAAGCUGUAGAGCUGCCUCCAGCUGUGUGAGCUGUCUCUCAUCCUGGGAGUCCAGCCAGGCUGGCCCUGUUUGCCACCAUGUAAGCAAGACGGAAACUAUGGUGGUGCUGGAUGGUCUGGAGUGCAUGUGCUAACGUCUAGAAGCCAUCCCUGAUCCAUUCCUGCCAGCUAGUUGCCGUGACUCACCACAGCCAUGCCACCUGCCAGGCCUUUCCCAGGCUGCUCUGGUCUGGAAGCUUAGCAGCCGUGCAGUAAGUGGAAGAAGUGAAGAAAGUAGCGUUCAGGAGUUGUCCUUUAACCGGGCUGUAGACAUCAGUGGCUGAUUCUUAUAAAAGCAGCCAAGGAAACCAUCACCUCUCUCCCUCCUGUUUGUUCAUCUUCAGUGAUGAGCCCCAGAAAGGGUACUUUCAGAGGCAAAGCACCAGGAUCCCUUAAGACCUGCCUCUCCUGAAGUCAAGUGACACGCAGAGCUGAAGGCCGCAAUGUGGACAAGCCUCCUGGGGUUAUGUGAACCUCCUGAAGUAUUAGUGUGACCCUCCAAGGGUUCUGUGGAAACCACCUGAAAGAACAAAGCAGUAUAAAGAUGCAUGCCCCGCCCCUUUCCUGAGCUUUUGUGUGGAUAAGGGUGCCCCCUAGUGGCUUCCCUCGCCUCUACAUGGGCCUUCCAAAGUCCCUGCAGAUGACCAAUUUAAGCAGAUGAGCCUCGGGCCACAGGAGCCUGGAGCGCAACUAACUCACAACAAGGUGGGUAAUGAGGCAGAGAAGAUGAUUAUAACUGCGUUGGGCCUCCUAAAUCCUUUCUCCAGUGACAUCUAUUCUUCCAAAGGUUCCACAGGCUCCAUCACAAAGCACCACCAGCCGGGGACCAAUUUAAGCAGAUGAGCCUCGGGGUAAGGUGGAGAAGGCGGCCAGUGGUGGGGAACAGGUAGAAAUGAUGAAGGCUGUCAAAAGCUACUGUGGAAUUCUGCCCUCCCUGGCAUGGUUAUCACCAUCUCAAAACCAGAGCCGCUCCCAUUACCCACACACCUCUCACUGAGGCAAGAUGGAAACUAUGGGGACAGAGGAAGGGACAAGAGCCCCUCAUGGCAGCUUCUCACCAGCUGAGGAGCCAUAAUUCCAGCACACACUUGUUACAAAGGCUGCCACUGGGAAAUAAUAUUCCUUUCGUAUGUAGAUAAAAGUAACAAUGAACCAGGCUUAUAGCCAGAGUGCGUAUGGCCCUGAGUUGGGACUCAUUCCUUUCCCCAGGCUGCUAACUUGGUUUUCAAUAAGGCAUCCUGUCUUCCUGCAUCCUGGAAAUCUUAUCAAUGGUAAUCCUGUCAGGUGUGUUAGUUAGGGUUUCUAUUGCUGUGAUGAAAGACUGUGGUCAAAAGCAACUUGUUAGAGAAAGGGUUUGUUUUGCUUACACUUCCACAUCACAGUUCACCAUGAAAGGAAAUUGGGGCAAGAGCCAGGAGGCAGGAGCUGAUGCAGAGGCUAUGAAGGAGUGCUGCUUACUGGCUUGCUCACUAUGGCUUGCUCAGCCUGC
rnacentral:lncRNA from 1 species